rnacentral:rRNA from 1 species
GUUAGGAAUAUUGGACAAUGGGCGAAAGCCUGAUCCAGCCAUGCCGCGUGAACGAUGAAGGCCUUCGGGUUGUAAAGUUCUUUAGCCGAUGAUUAUAAUGACUGUAGUCGGCAAAUAAGCCCCGGCUAACUUCGUGCCAGCAGCCGCGGUAAUACGAAGGGGGCGAGCGUUAUUCGGAAUCACUGGGCGUAAAGCGUGCGUAGGCGGUUUUGUAAGUUAGGAGUGAAAGCCCAGGGCUCAACCUUGGAAUUGCUCUUAAAACUGCAAGGCUCGAAUCUCGGAGAGGAGAGCGGAAUUGCCAGUGUAGCAGUGAAAUGCGUAGAUAUUGGAAGGAACACCAGUGGCGUAAGCGGCUAUCUGGACGAGUAUUGGCGCUGAGGCACGAAAGCGUGGGGAUCAAACAGGAUUAGAAACCCUGGUAGUCC